UCCCUGGCGGACUAGUGAUUAGGCCAUAGCGUGCUCACCACUGCAGCCUGGGUUCGAUUCCCGGCCAGGGAA
rnacentral:tRNA from 1 species